UUUUAGUUAGCUCAGCGGGUAAAGCAUCAGACUCUUAAGCUCAGGACUGCGGGUUCAAGACCCACGUGGGCUAAAAA